UCCCUGAUAGCUCAGUUGGUAAAGAAUCUGCCUGCAAUGCAGGAGACCCCGGUUUGAUUCCUGGGUUGGGAA
rfam:TPA: Bos taurus chromosome 22, whole genome shotgun sequence.